AGCGUGAAGAGGAACUGGCCCCCAUCUUCUCUACUCUAAUUUCCCAAAUAAUGUCUGUGAAUAUAGAGUCUUCGCAACCUGACUUCCUAAUUAAGAAAGUGACAUGUUUGGAAAGGAUUUUAAAUGACAGCGUUUGUCAAGCUGUUUGUUUAGUGAACUCUCUGGGUGUGCUGUUACACAAGAACUGUCUUAAUUAAGGUUAAUUGGUGCAUAAUUAUAGGCACUGCUGACUUAAAAGAUUCCACUGGCGGUAAAGCAAUGAGAACCCUUAAUGUCUAGACAAGGACAAAGCAAUCACAAUAAGCCAAAUUUCAAGACACAUUCUAUUUCCAACACAAGGGCCCUACCCCUGGUCUGACCUGUUUAGAAGGGCACAUCUCACCAAGUGUUUGGGAACCCCUUGUGAGCUUUGGAUAAAGAAAAUCUGAUUCCAGCCUCGUGGUAUUUAGAAAAAAACAAAGAAAAGUAAAUGCAAUGGUGGGCUGGUUAUUAUUCUAAACUGUUAAAAUUUAGCUCAGGUAAAAAUCAAUCAACUUCACUUUCUCUCUGUCCUUAUUUUCUUCCCUUGCAUAAAGGGAGAAGUGGGUUGGGUAGGCAGAUGGGCAUAGAGAAUAGAGGCAGUAUCGUUCUCAAUAUCGGAAAAUGACUAGAAACAACGUGGUAGCCUGUUUCCCAUGUCUACCACGGGCACCACUGGUGCAUCACAGUGCAGUCCCCGACUUAUGUUAGCUACAAGCCCGGGUUUCCCAAGAGGGAGGGCACCAGACACCAAAAUGAACUCCAAGUGAGGUCAUAAAAUUGCUUUCCCUAGUGUCUUUAAAAACAAGAUGAAAGCAUGCAGCACUGGCUGGCGUUAGCAAGAACUUAUUUGGAAGCUGGAGAUUGACUAGAACUUCUGUAAGGAACCACCUAUUUUUGUUCCUGUUGGCUAUUUUCUUUUAAUUUCCAAUCCAUUGUGGACCAAUAUUUUUGUAAAAUACAAUAUAAGUGAGUUACUAAAUAAAUUUAAAAAGACAAAGUGCAAGUCCAAAUAUGUUAAUGUUAGAUUCAACAGACACAAAAUGAUUCAGUUAUUAUAAAAGUUUGUAAUAUUCCUUUGCAAUUUCUAUACUCAUCUCUUUGCAGAGCUCUAAGAAACAGCUUGGAUUGGGGCCCCAAGGUACUGUGCCAGAGGCCCGUGGGGUCGUCUUGGCCCUUCAGGCUCCUGGAAUGCUGCAGCUUUGCGUUCUGAGCAUGCGCAGCCCACUCCCCACAUCUGACCUCAGGCGGUCCGUCCCUUGCACAUGUGAUGAGGUCCUAUCCUCACACCUGGCUCGGCCUUUGGGGCGAGGCUCAGCUGCCUGGUGACUCUGAGGGGCUGGGGGCCAAAGAGUCCACGAGCAUUGAGAUUUGCGUGACGGAUGGUGUGAGCCAGUGUCCUUAUGGAGGAGUCUGGGAGGAGGGGCCUCCGGCACCCCAGGCACCCAGAUGUUUCUUAUCCCAGGAUUCCCCUGCGCGGCCUGUAAAACUCUGGAGAAAACGCGAGAUGGGGCUUCCUCUGGGAAGAGUGAUGGCGCUGCAGGGCCGGCAGGGUGAUUCCGCCGCUCUGAGCCUUUCUGAGGCUCAGGUCACGCCAGCCCAUCCUCUCCCUGCCCCUCCAUCAGGACUCGCACUUGCCCCUGAGUCACCAAGCGCACCCUGCGGUCUCCAACUGCUCCCUGUUUGAAGAAAGUAGCGCUAAUCUGUGAACUCCACUUUGAAUACAGCUGGCCCAGGCUCAACCUUAGACUACAUUUACCAGCCUCCCUUGCAGCGAGUUGUGGUCACCUGACCUCAUCUGUUGAGAAGAAUGCAAUCAGCAGUAGCAUACAAUCUUCCAGGCAUGAACCAUGAAAACUUCCCACAAUCUUCUGUGUUCUUUCUUCCCCAUCUAACAGCCUAGAGGUUGAAGAGUGGACAAGACAGAAGGAAACUAGGCCCUGAAUGAGCAUUCAGGCCUACCAUCAAAUCAGAUGUUCAGUUUCAGCUUUGAGGGAAUGAGCUACUUUUUAGGGGAGUUGAGUUACUGAAAUUCGUUACUUGCCUAAUUAAUGUGCAAGUCUGGAUGCCAUGCUGUGGAAUUUAAUUGGACGGUGUUGUUUUUGGCUAAGCAUAAUUUGCUCUGAAAAAAAUCUCAAAAGAGUUAUUUCAAGUUGCCAGCUGUUGCUCUUUUGAGAGUGAAGUCACCAAGUCAACAAGAGAACUCAACACUUCCAGGAAUAAGCCCCAAUUUGCUCUUUUAAGCUAUGCUACCGGAGACCUUUGGAAGACCUGGAAGAAAAAACUGGCAGAGUCUUCCCUUCAGAUUAUCAGUUGGAACAGAAUGGAACUUAUUGUCUGGGCAGUGGAGGAAAUAUCCCCUUAAAUUCAGGACUGGACUCCAGCUGGUUUGUCCUCCACUCAGCGAGGCCCCAGGAGGAGUGGAUCUGUUGGUGUCGUCCCAGAUGCCCUUGACUGGCUUGCACACCCAUCUGCCAAUUACUGUGAGUGUUGGCUGCUAAGGACUCACAGCUGCCACCCCCAGAGAAGUGCCCUCCCAGGACCCAUCAGCCUGAAGGUUAUGACCCCUUUGCCCCCACCUCCAGCCUUCAAGUAAAGUCAUCAGUAUUUGGGGGACCAGCAGAGAGGGAAUCAAGCCAAACAUCUGUCCCGAGGCUGAUCCUGCACCUGGAGAGGAAUCAGCACCCAGCUUUUUACGGCCACCUGAAAGCUUAGAGCCAGCAAGUCUGAGCUGGAACCUCCCUAUUCUUGCUGCUGCCGAAGGAUCAAGGAACCACGACCGCCGGAAUGCCAGCUGCAAAGACACCUUUCACAAAGGAACUUUGAAGAUCAUUGCUCCUGGGACAGCAAGCUGCCAAGUUUGAGCAGUCCUACAGAUAGACCACAUGACAACCAACUAUGUAUCCAGCCAACAGCCAGUGAGGACCUCUUACUAGCACCCAUAUGAGGGAGCUUGAAAGCCAAUCGUCACCCUCGAGAUGACAGCAGCCCUGGCCAACACUGUGCAGCCUCAUGAGAGACCCUGAGUCAGAGGCAUCCAGCUUAACCAUGCCUGGAUUCCUGACUCAGAGAAACGGUGACAUAAUAAAUGUUUGUUACUUUAUGCCACUGAGUUUUCAGGUAAUUUGCUACACAGCAAUAGAUAACUAACAGACCCUGCUUUGAGCACGGCCAACUAACACUGUAAUUGGCAUCAAAAAUUAGCACGAAUAAGUGUACAUUCUUUUUAGCUCCAGAAUUGAAAUGCAGUAGAGCAAAGACCAUGCCUAGUGCAUACUCUUCAGGAGUGACGUACCCAUUCCCCAGAUGCUGAGAACAAUAGAUCCUGAUGGCUCCUAGCUUUUCUCCUCAUUAGAAUUUUCCUCAGCAGCAGGGAACUGCCUCUCCAAAGAUCAUGACUGAAUAAUUCAGGGCCACAAGGAUCUGGCCCCCUUGCCUCAAUGGGGACAACGUACAUGGUCCCAGCCCCAGAACUCCCCACGGGGUCAGCUGAGCCCUCUGCUGUGGCUGCAUUGUGGAUCAGAUUUCCUCUAUGCCCAGUUCUCCCCUCCUCACUUCCUCACAGAUAUAUCUCCCAGCGUGCUCCUGGUUGAAUUUUUUGUCCAAGGCACUGGGCCAUAAAAUAUUCCUAAGCAAGUAAACGUAUUUUUCUCAAAAAGUUCAAUGGGUUGCUUAUCUUCCUAGGAUAAAAUCCAGUUCAGC
rnacentral:lncRNA from 1 species